CCUACGGGAGGCUGCAGUGGGGAAUAUUGGACAAUGGGCGAAAGCCUGAUCCAGCCAUGCCGCGUGUGUGAAGAAGGCCUUCGGGUUGUAAAGCACUUUCAGUGGGGAAGAAAGCCUUGGGGCUAAUACCCUCGAGGAAGGACAUCACCCACAGAAGAAGCACCGACUAACUCCGUGCCAGCAGCCGCGGUAAUACGGAGGGUGCGAGCGUUAAUCGGAAUUACUGGGCGUAAAGCGCGCGUAGGCGGUCUGAUAAGCCGGUUGUGAAAGCCCCGGGCUCAACCUGGGAACGGCAUCCGGAACUGUCAGGCUAGAGUGCAGGAGAGGAAGGUAGAAUUCCCGGUGUAGCGGUGAAAUGCGUAGAGAUCGGGAGGAAUACCAGUGGCGAAGGCGGCCUUCUGGACUGACACUGACGCUGAGGUGCGAAAGCGUGGGUAGCAAACAGGAUUAGAUACCCUUGUAGUC
rnacentral:rRNA from 1 species